UACAGAGGGUGCGAGCGUUAAUCGGAAUUACUGGGCGUAAAGCGCACGUAGGUGGCGACGUAAGUCGGGUGUGAAAUCCCUGGGCUCAACCUGGGAACGGCAUUCGAGACUGCAUAGCUAGGGUGCGGAAGAGGGAAGCGGAAUUUCGGGUGUAGCGGUGAAAUGCGUAGAUAUCCGAAGGAACAUCAGUGGCGAAAGCGGCUUCCUGGUCCAGCACCCGACGUUCAGGCACGAAAGCGUGGGGAGCAAACAGG
rnacentral:rRNA from 1 species